AUGAACGCUGGCGGCGUGCCUAAUACAUGCAAGUCGAGCGAACAGAUCAGGAGCUUGCUCCUUUGACGUUAGCGGCGGACGGGUGAGUAACACGUGGGUAACCUACCUAUAAGACUGGGAUAACUUCGGGAAACCGGAGCUAAUACCGGAUAACAUUUGGAACCGCAUGGUUCUAAAGUGAAAGAUGGUUUUGCUAUCACUUAUAGAUGGACCCGCGCCGUAUUAGCUAGUUGGUAAGGUAACGGCUUACCAAGGCGACGAUACGUAGCCGACCUGAGAGGGUGAUCGGCCACACUGGAACUGAGACACGGUCCAGACUCCUACGGGAGGCAGCAGUAGGGAAUCUUCCGCAAUGGGCGAAAGCCUGACGGAGCAACGCCGCGUGAGUGAUGAAGGGUUUCGGCUCGUAAAACUCUGUUAUUAGGGAAGAACAAACGUGUAAGUAACUGUGCACGUCUUGACGGUACCUAAUCAGAAAGCCACGGCUAACUACGUG
rnacentral:rRNA from 1 species